AUUGAACGCUGGCGGCAUGCCUAACACAUGCAAGUCGGACGAGUGUCUGACGGGUGAGUAUUGUCUGGGAAACUGCCUGAUGGAUGUUGAUAGCUACUGGAAACUGUAGCUAAUACCGCAUACCAUCAGAUGUUCCCUGGUGGGAUUAGCUUGUUGGUGUGGUAACGGCUCACCAAGGCGACGCUCCCUAGCUGGUCUGAGAGGAUGACCAGCCACACUUGAACUGAGACACGGUCCAGACUCCUACGGGAGGCAGCAGUGGGGAAUAUUGCACAAUGGGCGCAAGCCUGAUGCAGCCAUGCCGCGUGUAUGAAGAAGGCCUUCGGGUUGUAAAGUACUUUCAGCGGGGAGGCGUUACCCGCAGAAGAAGCACCGGCUAACUCCGUGCCAGCAGCCGCGGUAAUUC
rnacentral:rRNA from 1 species